CAGCUGACGAGUCCCAAAUAGAACGAAACGUGCUUCCUG
rnacentral:hammerhead_ribozyme from 1 species